GAACUUCCGUUAAUUGAUUAUGACGUACUUGUACUGAUUGAGAUUUUAACACGAAGUGAGUGGCGAACGGGUGAGUAACACGUGGGUAACCUGCCCAGAAGUAGGGGAUAACACCUGGAAACAGAUGCUAAUACCGUAUAACAGAGAAAACCGCAUGGUUUUCUUUUGAAAGAUGGCUCUGCUAUCACUUCUGGAUGGACCCGCGGCGUAUUAGCUAGUUGGUGAGGUAAAGGCUCACCAAGGCAGUGAUACGUAGCCGACCUGAGAGGGUAAUCGGCCACAUUGGGACUGAGACACGGCCCAGACUCCUACGGGAGGCAGCAGUAGGGAAUCUUCCACAAUGGACGCAAGUCUGAUGGAGCAACGCCGCGUGAGUGAAGAAGGGUUUCGGCUCGUAAAGCUCUGUUGUUAAAGAAGAACGUGGGUAAGAGUAACUGUUUACCCAGUGACGGUAUUUAACCAGAAAGCCACGGCUAACUACGUGCCAGCAGCCGCGGUAAUACGUAGGUGGCAAGCGUUAUCCGGAUUUAUUGGGCGUAAAGCGAGCGCAGGCGGUCUUUUAAGUCUAAUGUGAAAGCCUUCGGCUCAACCGAAGAAGUGCAUUGGAAACUGGGAGACUUGAGUGCAGAAGAGGACAGUGGAACUCCAUGUGUAGCGGUGAAAUGCGUAGAUAUAUGGAAGAACACCAGUGGCGAAGGCGGCUGUCUGGUCUGCAACUGACGCUGAGGCUCGAAAG
rnacentral:rRNA from 1 species